rnacentral:rRNA from 1 species
UGCCAGCCGCCGCGGUAAUACGAGGGGUCCUAGCGUUGUCCGGAUUUACUGGGCGUAAAGGGUACGUAGGCGUUUUAGAAAGUUAUGUGUUAAAUACUUUAGCUUAACUAAAGAAGUGCACAUAAAACUAUUAAAAUAGAGUUUGAGAGAGGAACGCAGAAUUCAUGGUGGAGCGGUGACAUGCGUAGAUAUCAUGAGGAAAGCCAAAUGCGAAGGCAGCCUUCUGGCUCAAAACUGACGCUGAGGUACGAAAGCGUGGGGAGCGAACAGGAUUAGAUA